rnacentral:lncRNA from 1 species
GUUCGUUCCUGGGCUCUCAGACAGGGUCAGGUGCGUCUGUGGGGCAUUCACACAGGUGUUUGUCAAACCUGUUAUUUAACACUACUAAUUACAAGAUUUUGCAAUCACUCUCAGCCUAUCCCCAUGGCCACCAAGUUUAUAUCUGAGCUGAAAAAAAUAAAAAGUUAAAAAAAAUAAGUCAAUUUGUUCUUGUUCAACAGAGAGUGGACAUGGAGAAGAGUCAUCAGCUCAUAACCCUCUCUAUUUUAAGACUAUUGAAGUACCCCUCCCAAGUACCUCCUAAACUAAAACACACACAAUUAUUUUUGCCAAGAGAUUUUCCACUUCCAACAUACCUUGCUAAGAAGAUUCAAUCAGCUAUAAUCUUUAAAGCAGGAACACCAGACUUCCCUCCUCAGUCUUACAGGACCUCGAUCGCACCUGCCAUCGCCUUGUCUGAAAAGCAUCAUUUGGCAAUUUGCACAGAGUGACGAGAGCUGCGCUGAGCUGGGGCAAUUGAAUAUACGCUUAACUUCGCAGAGCUGAGGCCCUCAACGCAUCAGUGUGCCUCAGAGUUUGUGUCUGGGGCACUCCAGCGUUUCCCAGCAGUGCCGGCACACACAGCGGCUCCUAAGGUUGCCCACGAGCAACCCACAGUUGGCUGGGGAACUACAGAACUACAUUUCUCCUUAGCUACUUUUUCCCUUUUAAUGUCUUACCAAUAUGAAAGCAUGCUUUUUCUUGUACUUGUUUCCUCCAUUAAAAAUACACAUUUUAACUCAAUAUCUAAGUGAUGUGCACAUAAUUUACAACAUAAAGGAGACAUAAGGAAAGGACAUACAUCUUCCAUUACCAUGCACCAUACCCCAUAACAAACAAACAAAUUUGGGAAGUUUACAUGUCAGAUAUAAACUUACCAGCAUAAGAAAGCCUUUGUAUUCUCCACACAGGUUGUUAGCUCUGGCUGGACAGCAGCGUCUCCCUGCCCGUGGGUAGGCACGCCAGACAGACCUCAAACCAACUGAAGGAAACCUGAAAAUCCAAUCUAGCCUUCCGGAAUUUGAUUUGUAGGAAAUUGAGGAACAAGGCUUUACAGGGGGAUUUCAAAUAAAUCAUAAUUAAUUACACGUGCA